rnacentral:tRNA from 1 species
GGAAGUGGAAAGCUCACUGGUGGGGCUCCCGGACUUCAAAUCCGGUGUAACGGCCAAAAGCUGUUAGGUGGGUUCGAUUCCCAUGCACUUCCGCCA